GCUCUCCCUCACUCCCUCACGCAACACGCAGCUCUCCCUCACUCCCUCACGCAGCACGCAGCUCUCCCUCACUCCCUCACUCCGACUGGCUCUCUUUUACUCCGUCGCCCAUCUCCAGUCACCGGCUCUCCCAGUCUCCCUCACUCCGCAGCUCAUCUCCAGGUCCGACUCUCCCUCACUCGGCAGCUCAUCUCCAGUCACCGGCUCUCCCUCACUCCGCAGCUCAUCUCCAGAUUUGUGUUGGUUAGUGUGGACUGAGGCUGCUUGUGGUUUUGGGAUUCCAAUUAAAUCCAUUCUUUCUUCACAUAAGGUAAGGAAGCUGAAUCAAAAUUUUGUUUUAUUUUGUUCUUUCUGUUUCAUUUAUCAAUUUUAGAUGUACUAUUUUUUGUGAGGAGGAAAACUCUCUCAUACAACUAUUUGGUUAAAAAAUAAUUCUGUCUUUUGACCAUCA